UCCUUGGUGGCUCAGAUGGUAAAGCGUCUGCCUGCAAUGCAGGAGACUCAGGUUCUAUCCCUGGGUCAGGAA
rnacentral:tRNA from 1 species